CCACUCCAGGACUAGACCCUAGACCUGCUUGUGCACACACUGUCACCUGAAUAGCUACCCUGCGUUCUCAGCCUACCAGCCACUUCCUGGUUGCCUCACUUCCUUCUAGAUCCAGCCAGUAUCUCAUGGUCCAUCAUGUGAGCACCCGUGUCGCGAGCUCCCUCAGCUCUCUCACUCUGGUCCUUUUGAGGCACAUGCUCUGCAAAUGUGCAGAUCUGGAGCAUCGAAUCAUCUGUUUCUCUGCUCUCAUGUCUGGCUUUGGUGCGCAGCCAGAGAAACUAACCAUUUGUUCACAGCAUGCUCCCCUAUGAACAUGCAGCUCACUGAUUCAGCUGGACCCAUGAGAAUGCUGAGUGGUGUCCAUGGCCACUCUCCUCAUGCGACCUUCUCAACAGUAUUCCAUCUCCUGCCCUCAAGUCCAGCAUCUGUGUUUUUUCUGAAGUUUGGAUGCGGUGACUACUCUUUCUGUCUGGGGUGUCCUCCAGGCCUCUGUCCUUUCUCUCCUCCUCCCUCUUGUCUCCCCAACAAGCUCCAUCCUCAGGCCUGCUGCUUACAGGCCAGGGUUCUACAAUGUUCCAUUUCUUUCUAAGCUCUCUCCAUCAGUGUUCUGACUACCCUAGUGGAUGAUGCCUAAAUCUACACCCUCAGCCCUGUUUGCAUAAACUCGAAACAUGUUACCCCUGACUGCCUCCUCUACAUCCUCACUUGUUUAUCCCACAGACACUCCAAACUCAGUAAAAUUCAUCAACAUUUCUUCCUCUGCUAGUUACCUCUGUGAAUGCUAUCAUCACUUUUUAAAAGGUCCUGAAGCUAGAAAUCUGUGUGUCAUUCUAGAUUCUUCCUUAUUGUUCAUUCAGUGAAUCCAGCAAGCCUAAAAAUCUCUCUGGAAUCCAUUUUUUUCUCUGUUCUCACUGCCAUCACCUUAAACCUGCUCCUUGUGACUUCUGUACUUGCUUCCCACCUGGUUAUGUCAUCCUCACUCUCCCCUCCCUGCUGCCUAGCCAACUUGCACAGCUCUGUCUGAAUUAUCUUAAUAAAAUGAAAAUCUGACUGUGUCUUUUCCUGAUUUGAAGGUCUCCAAGAACUUCCCAAGUUCUAAGCUGUGAAGGCAAAACCAGGUACUUUCAAAGGCUGGGCAGAUACCAUAAGUAUGUGAGCUGGGAAGCAGUGGCAAUGUGGGAAAAGGAAAGCUCACACCUGCCGGAAAGCACUUACAAGUCAUUUAACAUCAUUUAGAAUUAGCUGCCACAUACGAGGAAUAGCACCAAAGCUCCCUCCUUGACUAGCAUGAAAGCUGCCCUGCUUGUCUCUCCUGCCUAACCUUUUGCUAUUUUCUGCUGACAACUUGAGCUCUAGUCAUAAAGAUUACUUAAAAUUAUGCCCAAGGGCCCUGCUUGUUCUUGCUUCCAUGCCUUUAGUAGGUGGCAGAAUUGGGAUUCAAGCCUGGGUUUUCUGACUUUGAAGCAUGUGUCAUCACCUACUCCACGAUACUACUGCCUUCAGUACGUUCUGGUUGAAUCAGAGCUCUGGCAGCCAGGUCAUUGUGUACAGAUGCCUACUGGGAAAACAGAGCUAACUUCAGGGGCUUCUGAGUAUAGGGGUUCAUCUGAAAUAACCAGCAAAGCAAGUAUCUUAUGCAAAGUAAGUUCAUGGUGUGUAUCUUCCGUGAAGAUGAUUUCUUUGUCACAAAACAGAAGAGUUUGUCUACAACAGAAUAGUCAGAGUCUGAUGAAUUCUGUAUCAAACAAGAAGGGUCAGGCAAAGGCUAAGGCAGACCAGAGGAGGGUGGUUUGGUCUUAUUUACACCUCCACAGGGCCUUUGCAAAUUGUUCUGCCUUCCUACAGUCUAUACCAACUUAGAUGACAGCUUCAAAUUAUUGACAGAGAAAAGGUUUAGGCUUUUACUUGCAGAACUUCCUGUAUUCAGAACAGUUAUUCAUGUGUUCUCUAUAUACUUAGUUUUUCCCCCUCCUCAUUUAUCAUGGAGUAAUUCAUUAUUCUGCAAUGGCACAGGAUUUGGAAAUACACUUAAGAAUUUAUUUUCACUUCUGACCUCCUAAAUAAGCAACUUUCAACUACAAUAGCCCUAGAAUAUAGGUUUAGUUCUCAUUUUGUGAAACCAUAGAUAAUUUGGAAAUGAUAAGUUUUACCUGGCAUUCAAGGCUCUCUCUUCAUAAUUUUAACCUUAUCAGUUUUUCUCACCUUAUUCCAUUUUAUCUUCUGUUUAUUCACUAAUGCCCACUUUGUCAAUCCAGACAAAUCUGAGUCCCUCUAGUUUUUGGCACACCAAGCCAUACACUGAGAAAUCCCCUUCCUGUUUUUUUCACAAACUAUGUCCACCAUCGGAUCCCAAUCUGAAACUUCUUGCUUGAUAUUCUCUCUGAUCAGCCCUCCUGGAGAUAAUCUUUCUCUUCUCUGAACUCUUACACAGUGUCUACCCUUCCCUUUACCCUUGUGAUUUAUUACCUCAUUACUGCUUAUUAACUUUCCACAUCUAUGGCUCUAAUAAUCUUAACUGGAUUGUUAAUUCUUUUUCUUUCUUUUUUUGUUUUUUUUUUUAAUUGUCUUGAUCCUCAAGAAUUAAUGUUAUCUGCAAUAUUUUACUUUGCAGAAUAAAACUUGUCAAUCCUAAAAAAAACAAAAUAAUCCACUGUACUCUAAAACUUGAUGUUUUAAAGUUUGUCUUAAACUACUAUAAAGGAUUUGCCAAUGUGAAAGUCACCAUAUUUAUGUAAUUUUGCUCUCUGUCAUGAAAAUGUGGGUUGGGUUUUCGUCAUUUCAAGGUACUCCAAAUGAAUACCUUUCUUUUCUUUCCUAGGUCUCUAAAGAAAAAAAUUCAAAACCUACCAUGAACUGCUGAAAAUAUAACAAUUUUCAAAAAAGAAUUCGAAUUCUCAUUUCAUUUCAUAAGGGUCUUGUUUACCCCAAGUAAAAGAAUGCCUGACUUAAGAUAAUGUUUUAUUUUUUCCUGGGGGAGGGUGUUAGAAAUCACAGUUUGUUGUGCAAUCACAAGACCUAAUAUUGUUCUUAAUUCUAGUUUAUACACUCUAAAACAGGCCAGAGAGUGUUAUAUACAGAGAGUGCUUCAAAUGUUAGGUUUCACCUGAAAACUGUAAUGGACUUCACCUCUGAAAAUGGAAAUUUAAGUUUAAUGGCUGAUAGAAAUCACAGAAUUGAUAAAUAUCAGAAACAUGGACAUUGAAAAUAGUAAAUAUGUAAGAUAUUGAACCUCUUUAUCACCACAAAUGUAUUACUUAAUAAAAUAUAUUUAAUAUAUAGCACACUCCAUUUUACAUUAAUCCCAACUACUACAAAGGACUCCUUAUACCUAAUUGAUUCCUUAUGUCUUCCAGAUCACCUUUAGUGAUAACAUCUCAUUUGGUGCUUAUAACAGUUCUAUCAGAUGGUCAUGGUAGAUUUAUCAGAUGAGAAACUGAGGUUGCAUAUAGGCCAGGGUGUCUCAACCUGGCCACUGCUGACAUCUGUGGCUGGAUAAUUGUUUGUUGGGGGAUUUGUCCUGUGCUUCAUGUAGCAGAACGCCUGGCCUUGACUAGAUGUCAGCAGCCACCCUACCAGCUGAUACAACCCGAGUGUCUCCAGACCUUAGCAAAUGUCCUUUGGAGCACAGUCUCCCCUCACUGUGUGGGGCCCAUGGACACAGAGCUAGUGGCAGAGUGAGAACCAGGACCUACCCUCCAACUCCUAGCACAGCAGCUCAGACCUGUUAGUCACGCUGCCUGUGACAUGUACCACUUAGGAUCGUCUGGAACAUGAAACUUCCAGCCCUCACUGUCUCCUUCAAUACAUGAGCAUGUGCAUGAACAAAAUGCCUCCCUAUUAGAACACUGAAGUAAUUCUAUUUCCUAUUUUGUUUUCUACAAUUCUUCUGAAGAAUUUUUACAUAAAUUGUACAUGGAAACUUAAAAAGAAAUUCACAUACCGCUUGAUAAAGUUAGCAAAAAGUAUCCGGUGUGAGUAUCCCAACCUUCGAAUUCUUGCCGUCCCCAGAAUCCCCGUGUAGCGAAGCUGCUGCACAACUUUGUCUUUGUCAUAUUUUCUCGCCUGACGUUCAUUAUUUGGUUUGAUGCAACGGAUAAAAUGAGGUUGGCCCACCACCAUUUUAGAUAACAAAUCCAUUAGUGAAUACUAUAAAUGCAACAAAAAUAAAUUUCCCAGUGUAGCAUACAAAAGCCUACGAGCUUGCAGGUCUUUCUAUUUUGAGAAAAAACCCUGAAAACUGAAUGUUAUACAGGCUCACACUAAUUCACUGUAAAUGGAGAGAAAUCUAUAUUAAUGAAUGUUUUAUUUAUAGUAAAUUUUAAAAAUACAGAUUUGCUCAUUAAACUAUAGAGACAAUAACUAGGAACUUAGCUACUGAUGGGUAGUUUGUAAAUUCUUAAGGGAACUUUAACAGAUAAAAUUAUUUUUGCUAUAGUUUGUAAAUAAUAAUAUUCUCUCAGGGAAACUUGCUGUUUUACAAUAUUUAAACACACAAUCUGAUUUCCUGCUUAUACUACUAAUUUCCUUGUCCAUCUCUUUCUUUAAUGUGAUGAUUAACCUAGUUUAAAAUAAGGACCAAGAAAUUAAUUCAGUUUAAUAUAUAGGACAUAUUAGUUAUAAAAAUAAGCAAAUCCAUUUAAGUACUGUAAAUCUGCUCUAGUUUGAUAAUUUACUUAUUUAUUUUGGAAUUUAAAAAACCAGUUCUGCAGUAAUACCUUACAAAGACAGCAGCCAAUUGCUGGACAACUAAGUAUAUAUCAUCUUAGGGUAAUUAUGGCUCAACUGCAAGUGGAAUCCAGCAAACGAGUAUGUCAAAGACCAGGAUGACUACUGGCAAGGUAAUGACUGCAGGAACACAGACAGCUAUUGAUGGCUGGAUCUCUUUCAGUGUUGGAAAUACAAAAGCCUAUGGUUACAAAGCCAGUGCAGACCAAACACUGGAACUGGACAACUGAUAAAGCAUUGGAUUUGCAUCGCUUCCUCCUGGGCAUGAGACUCAGAUGUGAUCUUCUUCAGACAGCUGGGUCUGCCACUUUGGAGCCCCUCUCAUUACAGUGAUCUGAGUCAUCAUUCCUUUGGACAUGCAAACAUUUGCCAGGCACUGGAGAUGCAAAGAAUGAAAAAUAACUUUCAAAAUACAUUACAUACUAUAUGGAAUUAUCUUUGAUCACUUUUCACUUCAGCCUGAGGAAUAAAAUGAUUUUAUGAACUAAUGGUUUAAACAUACUCACAGUGUUUGAUGUCAACAACAGUAUGAUAAUCAUCUUGGCUAACUCACUUAUAAAAAGAAAAUAAUCUGGCUGUAAAUGUUCACAGUAAUUCAGCUGUGCUGUGGUCCUGAUGUGAAGAAAAUGUGCCCGCAGCAAACUCAAGAUAUUAAGCAUAUGAAAUUAAGCAUAUAAAUGUACUUGGUGCUAUGUAAAGGUGAAUAAGCACACACUGUCUGCUAUGAGCUUAGGACUUGAAAAAUAUUAAUAAAACUACCCAGCUUUUAAAAAAA